CUCCUACGGGAGGCAGCAGCUAGGAAUUUUGCGCAAUGGGGGAAACCCUGACGCAGCAACGCCGCGUGAAUGAUGAAGGCCUUCGGGUUGUAAAGUUCUUUUAGCAGGGACGAAAAAAAUGACUGUACCUGCAGAAAAAGCACCGGCAAACUUCGUGCCAGCAGCCGCGGUAAUACGAAGGGUGCAAGCGUUACUCGGAAUCACUGGGCUUAAAGCGUUUGUAGGUCGUUCGGUUAGUUUGGUGUGAAAUCCCACAGCUCAAAUGUGGAAGUGCAUUGGAUACUGGCGGGCUGGAGUGUGGCAGAGGGGGGUGGAAUUCCGCGUGUAGCAGUGAAAUGCGUAGAGAUGCGGAGGAACACCGAUGGCGAAGGCAGCCCCCUGGGCUGACACUGACGCUCAGGCACGAAAGCGUGGGGAGCAAACAGGAUUAGAUACCCUGGUAGUCCACGCCCUAAACGAUGAUCACUGGGUGUUCGGGGAGCGAUCUCUGGGUACCGUAGCUAACGCGUGAAG
rnacentral:rRNA from 1 species